rnacentral:rRNA from 1 species
AGUCGAACGAGAAAGUGAUUUUCGGAUCGCGAGUAAAGUGGCGAACGGGUGAGUAACGCGUGGGCAAUCUGCCCUCGAGUGGGGGAUAACAUUCCUAACGGGAUGCUAAUACCGCAUAAUAUCGCGUGGCCGCAUGGCCGUGUGAUCAAAGAUGGCCUCUGCUUGCAAGCUGUCGCUUGAGGAUGAGCCCGCGUACCAUUAGCUUGUUGGUGGGGUAACGGCCUACCAAGGCAGCGAUGGUUAGCCGGCCUGAGAGGGUGUCCGGCCACACUGGGACUGAGAUACGGCCCAGACUCCUACGGGAGGCAGCAGUAGGGAAUCUUGCGCAAUGGGGGAAACCCUGACGCAGCAACGCCGCGUGGGUGAUGAAGCUCUUCGGAGCGUAAAACCCUGUCAGGAGGGAAGAACUGGUCACCGACCCAACACGUCGGCGACGUGACGGUACCUCCAGAGGAAGCUCCGGCUAACUCCGUGCCAGCAGCCGCGGUAACACGGGGGGAGCGAGCGUUGUUCGGAA